GAUGAACGCUGACAGAAUGCUUAACACAUGCAAGUCAACUUGAAUUUGGGUUUUUAACUUAGAUUUGGGUGGCGGACGGGUGAGUAACGCGUAAAGAACUUGCCUCACAGCUAGGGACAACAUUUAGAAAUGAAUGCUAAUACCUGAUAUUAUGAUUUUAAGGCAUCUUAGAAUUAUGAAAGCUAUAAGCACUGUGAGAGAGCUUUGCGUCCCAUUAGCUAGUUGGAGAGGUAACAGCUCACCAGGGCGAUGAUGGGUAGCCGGCCUGAGAGGGUGAACGGCCACAAGGGGACUGAGACACGGCCCUUACUCCUACGGGAGGCAGCAGUGGGGAAUAUUGGACAAUGGACCAAGAGUCUGAUCCAGCAAUUCUGUGUGCACGAUGAAGUUUUUCGGAAUGUAAAGUGCUUUCAGUUGGGAAGAAAAAAAUGACGGUACCAACAGAAGAAGUGACGGCUAAAUACGUGCCAGCAGCCGCGGUAAUACGUAUGUCACAAGCGUUAUCCGGAUUUAUUGGGCGUAAAGCGCGUCUAGGUGGUUAUGUAAGUCUGAUGUGAAAAUGCAGGGCUCAACUCUGUAUUGCGUUGGAAACUGUGUAACUAGAGUACUGGAGAGGUAAGCGGAACUACAAGUGUAGAGGUGAAAUUCGUAGAUAUUUGUAGGAAUGCCGAUGGGGAAGCCAGCUUACUGGACAGAUACUGACGCUGAAGCGCGAAAGCGUGGGUAGCAAACAGG
rnacentral:rRNA from 1 species